AGUCGAACGGCAGCACAGCAGUAGCAAUACUGUGGGUGGCGAGUGGCGGACGGGUGAGUAAUGCAUCGGGACCUACCCAGACGUGGGGGAUAACGUAGGGAAACUUACGCUAAUACCGCAUACGUCCUACGGGAGAAAGCGGGGGACCUUCGGGCCUCGCGCGUUUGGACGGACCGAUGUUCGAUUAGCUAGUUGGUAAGGUAAUGGCUUACCAAGGCGACGAUCGAUAGCUGGUCUGAGAGGAUGAUCAGCCACACUGGAACUGAGACACGGUCCAGACUCCUACGGGAGGCAGCAGUGGGGAAUAUUGGACAAUGGGCGCAAGCCUGAUCCAGCAAUGCCGCGUGUGUGAAGAAGGCCUUCGGGUUGUAAAGCACUUUUAUCGGGAACGAAAUACCACGGGUUAAUAACCUAUGGGGCUGACGGUACCCGAGGAAUAAGCACCGGCUAACUUCGUGCCAGCAGCCGCGGUAAUACGAAGGGUGCAAGCGUUAAUCGGAAUUACUGGGCGUAAAGGGUGCGUAGGCGGUUAGUUAAGUCUGUCGUGAAAUCCCCGGGCUCAACCUGGGAAUGGCGAUGGAUACUGGCUGGCUAGAGUGUGUCAGAGGAUGGUGGAAUUUCCGGUGUAGCGGUGAAAUGCGUAGAGAUCGGAAGGAACA
rnacentral:rRNA from 1 species